CCUACGGGGGGCAGCAGUGAGGAAUAUUGGUCAAUGGACGAGAGUCUGAACCAGCCAAGUAGCGUGAAGGAUGACUGCCCUAUGGGUUGUAAACUUCUUUUAUAUGGGAAUAAAAUGUUCCACGUGUGGGAUUUUGUAUGUACCAUAUGAAUAAGGAUCGGCUAACUCCGUGCCAGCAGCCGCGGUAAUACGGAGGAUCCGAGCGUUAUCCGGAUUUAUUGGGUUUAAAGGGAGCGUAGGUGGAUUGUUAAGUCAGUUGUGAAAGUUUGCGGCUCAACCGUAAAAUUGCAGUUGACACUGGCAGUCUUGAGUACAGUAGAGGUGGGCGGAAUUCGUGGUGUAGCGGUGAAAUGCUUAGAUAUCACGAAGAACUCCGAUUGCGAAGGCAGUUCACUGGACUGCAACUGACACUGAGGCUCGAAAGUGUGGGUAUCAAACAGGAUUAGAUACCCCAGUAGUC
rnacentral:rRNA from 1 species